UACGUAGGGGGCUAGCGUUGUCCGGAAUCAUUGGGCGUAAAGAGCGUGUAGGCGGUUCGGUAAGUCCGCUGUGAAAGUCCAGGGCUCAACCCUGGAAUGCCGGUGGAUACUGUCGGGCUAGAGUCCGGAAGAGGCGAGUGGAAUUCCUGGUGUAGCGGUGAAAUGCGCAGAUAUCAGGAGGAACACCAAUGGCGAAGGCAGCUCGCUGGGACGUGACUGACGCUGAGACGCGAAAGCGUGGGGAGCAAACAGG
rnacentral:rRNA from 1 species